GCCUGCAUAGCUCAGUGGUAGAGCAGCGGUUUUGUAAACCGCAGGUCGUCGGUUCGACCCCGACUGCUGGCUCCA
rnacentral:tRNA from 4 species